GCCAAAAUGAAUGCAACAGCAGCAAAAAAGUUAAAGUCCAAUGUAAGUUAAAAAUCGUAUUUAUAUCAGUUGGUAUAAGAUAAGAGUUUAGAAAAAAUAUCGUGCAUUAUUACUUCACAGAAUGAAUACUCCAAGCAGGAAAAAGUGUAGAAAAUCAAAAAAGAAGAAAAAGUUAGGAACAAAAUCUAAACAAAUGAUAACAAACAAGAGUAAGAUGCAUCGACAGCGGCUUCUGUGUUAUUUCAGUCGCAUGACGCAUUUCAUAUCAUCACACGAUCAACACAAUGACUCAUUGCUUCCCAGGCUUAUUCAGAUUAGACUAAAUCAAUGCAUGUUACUUCAAACAUUAUCAAGUACAAGCUCAUUUUUAUUUAUUUCAUUUUCCAAUAUUAACUUAUUUUAAUAGUUUGAC
rnacentral:lncRNA from 1 species